rnacentral:rRNA from 1 species
ACGAACGCUGGCGGCGUGCUUAACACCUGCAAGUCGAACGGAAAGGCCCUGCUUUUGUGGGGUGCUCGAGUGGCGAACGGGUGAGUAACACGUGAGUAACCUGCCCUUGACUUUGGGAUAACUUCAGGAAACUGGGGCUAAUACCGGAUAGGAGCUCCUGCUGCAUGGUGGGGGUUGGAAAGUUUCGGCGGUUGGGGAUGGACUCGCGGCUUAUCAGCUUGUUGGUGGGGUAGUGGCUUACCAAGGCUUUGACGGGUAGCCGGCCUGAGAGGGUGACCGGCCACAUUGGGACUGAGAUACGGCCCAGACUCCUACGGGAGGCAGCAGUGGGGAAUAUUGCACAAUGGGCGGAAGCCUGAUGCAGCAACGCCGCGUGCGGGAUGACGGCCUUCGGGUUGUAAACCGCUUUCGCCUGUGACGAAGCGUGAGUGACGGUAAUGGGUAAAGAAGUACCGGCUAACUACGUG